CGGAUUGCAGGCUGCAACUCGCCUGCAUGAAGUCGGAAUUGCUAGUAAUCGCGGAUCAGAAUGCCGCGGUGAAUACGUUCCCGGGUCUUGUACACACCGCCCGUCACACCAUGGGAGUCGGAAAUGCCCGAAGCCGGUGACCUAACCUUUCAGGAAGGAGCCGUCGAAGGCAGGUCUGAUAACUGGGGUGAAGUCGUAACAAGGUAGC
rnacentral:rRNA from 1 species